rnacentral:lncRNA from 1 species
GGCGCGCGCGGCGCGGUGUGUCUUUAAGAGUGGCAGCGCCGCGCGCUCCGCCACCAGUCGAGGAGGAGCCUCUCCGGGGUUCGACGGCGCGCGCUGCGCGCGAGGGCCGAACGCGCUCGGAAUACCGCACCGGAGAGAGAAGAACAUAGUAGGUGACAGAGAGAGAAUCACGCCGCGGACUGCAGGCGAUGGGAUUGUAUUUCACGAGGAACUCGCCGUGGGGUCUGCUGUAGCGGGGCUCGUCCGCAGAGAGAAGCUCGCGCUGGCUGGAGCGCGCGGGCACCGGAGCUGCUCACCUCGGCUGCACCGCGGUAUGACACGGGCGAGUUGCGCUCCAACACUGCGCCCGCUUCCCUCCCUCCCCGGCACUUCCUCACCCCGCGGAACACGGCACUUGUUUGGGAACUUCAUUAAUUUACAGCUUCAGCUUGGUGCUGCGUAUUAUAUUUUAAUAAUUACAAACCUUCAUUUAGCCCGUCUAGGGGAAACUCAAAAUCAUGCUAGACAAUCAACUUUACAGUUAUUUACCCAAUCAAUCAAUGUAUGAUUUAUACAUAGCACGGCAUUCUUUCAGUGUUAAUUCAGGGUUAGUACCUGUCAAGGGCGCCGGCUGUGCUGCAGCAGAGUGGGAUUCAAACCAAGAACAGCCAGGACCUGGCUUCAGACUGGGAGGGAGCUCUACCGUCUGGCACAUUCGUUCCCGUUUAGGUUGCAGGGUCCGGACGCACAGGUUCGUUUUGCUGAAUGGAUCAUCGAACCAUUAGUCGCGGUUUUACGAGAAUUCGCACCUUCCCCCGGUUUACGUUCUUUUCGCAUCUCCGCCGCUCCCGCCGGUCCGGUCGGCCCGUUAUGUUUCCACAACCCGCUAUAUCCUGGAGCCAAGUGCGAGCUGCGUCGCGAGUAAUCGCAAUAAUAAGAUUUCUCAUUUUCAUUCCGGACUAUAGUUAGACAAGUAGCGUCCGACCUUAUCGAAAAAAUGCAUUCAUGUGAAACUGGCAUUGGCAUAAGCGCUAUUUUAUUUUAACGCACGAGAUUUAAUUCCCUGAUUGUACGUAUUUUCUUAACAAAAAAAUCGCACGGACCCUUAAUUCGAAUUGUCCUAAUUAAUAAGCCAAGCAACAGACGUAAAAUAACCUGCAUCUGUUAUUUUUUCUAAAUAUAUUUUCUUCGCGUAUAUAGUACAACAUUGUAAAUAGUGAAAAUGCAGAACCUUUUUCCAGCGACGGUCGUCCGGCCGCUGAAGCGCAAAAA